CCAAAAUUCAAACUUGAUCUGUAUUUCGUGGUUUGCAUUUAAGUUUCAUAACAAUUCAUUGGGGCAAACUAAAGAUAGAGAACAGAAACGAAAAAUUCAGCAAAUUUUUCCAUUUAUAAAGGGGCAUAACCCUAGAAUGGUUAAAGUGAUGCCACUAAACUUGAUCUGUGUUUUUUGGUAAUAAGUAUUGUGUAUAUGAGUUUUAUAUCAUUUGGUUGAGGCAAACUCAAGUUAUAGAGCGGAAACCAAUUUUGGAACGUUAGAACGUACGUACAUACAAUGGACAAGGGUAAAACUUAAUGCCCCCUCCGUUACAGUCAGGGUAUAAUAAUAAGAAUAAGGAUUGAGACAGAUCCAGUACUGUAAAAAGGAUAAAAUUUGAGUUAUCUUUCUUGGAAUGAAAUCUCAUAUUUGAAAGAUCCCCUACUGGCAGAGGCUUAAACUCUGUAGACAUGAAAACAAGAUGAUGUCAUUGUAACAAGAACUAGAUGAUAUAACAAAAGAAUUGAUGGACAAAAGAAACACAUCUGAUUUUUAAAUUUUCAACAGAUUUCAAAUUAAAUGGCAUUUUCUAAUACACCUUAUUGCUAUUUGUCCACCAUAACUGGACAUUACAAAGGUCUUUUUAAAAUUUUGACAUCAUAAUACAAAAUUUG
rnacentral:lncRNA from 1 species